UGCAGUCGAGCGGACAGAAGGGAGCUUGCUCCCGGAUGUUAGCGGCGGACGGGUGAGUAACACGUGGGUAACCUGCCUGUAAGACUGGGAUAACUCCGGGAAACCGGAGCUAAUACCGGAUAGUUCCUUGAACCGCAUGGUUCAAGGAUGAAAGACGGUUUCGGCUGUCACUUACAGAUGGACCCGCGGCGCAUUAGCUAGUUGGUGAGGUAACGGCUCACCAAGGCGACGAUGCGUAGCCGACCUGAGAGGGUGAUCGGCCACACUGGGACUGAGACACGGCCCAGACUCCUACGGGAGGCAGCAGUAGGGAAUCUUCCGCAAUGGACGAAAGUCUGACGGAGCAACGCCGCGUGAGUGAUGAAGGUUUUCGGAUCGUAAAGCUCUGUUGUUAGGGAAGAACAAGUGCAAGAGUAACUGCUUGCACCUUGACGGUACCUAACCAGAAAGCCACGGCUAACUACGUGCCAGCAGCCGCGGUAAUACGUAGGUGGCAAGCGUUGUCCGGAAUUAUUGGGCGUAAAGGGCUCGCAGGCGGUUUCUUAAGUCUGAUGUGAAAGCCCCCGGCUCAACCGGGGAGGGUCAUUGGAAACUGGGAAACUUGAGUGCAGAAGAGGAGAGUGGAAUUCCACGUGUAGCGGUGAAAUGCGUAGAGAUGUGGAGGAACACCAGUGGCGAAGGCGACUCUCUGGUCUGUAACUGACGCUGAGGAGCGAAAGCGUGGGGAGCGAACAGGAUUAGAUACCCUGGUAGUCCACGCCGUAAACGAUGAGUGCUAAGUGUUAGGGGGUUUCCGCCCCUUAGUGCUGCAGCUAACGCAUUAAGCACUCCGCCUGGGGAGUACGGUCGCAAGACUGAAACUCAAAGGAAUUGACGGGGGCCCGCACAAGCGGUGGAGCAUGU
rnacentral:rRNA from 1 species